rnacentral:rRNA from 1 species
GUAGGGAAUAUUGCACAAUGGGCGAAAGCCUGAUGCAGCAACGCCGCGUGCACGAUGAAGGCCUUCGGGUCGUAAAGUGCUUUUCGGGGAGACGAGGAAGGACGGUAUCCCCGGAAUAAGGAUCGGCUAACUACGUGCCAGCAGCCGCGGUAAAACGUAGGAUCCGAGCGUUAUCCGAAUUCACUGGGCGUAAAGCGCGUGCAGGCGGAUCAGUAAGUUGGAUGUAAAAUCUCCUGGCUCAACUGGGAGGGGACGUACAAGACUGCUGGACUAGAGGAUGGCAGAGGAAGGUGGAAUUCCCGGUGUAGUGGUGAAAUGCGUAGAUAUCGGGAGGAACACCAGAGGCGAAGGCGGCCUUCUGGGCCAUACCUGACGCUCAGACGCGAAAGCUAGGGUAGCAAACGGGAUUAGAAACCCCAGUAGUCC